UACAGAGGGGGCAAGCGUUAUUCGGAAUUAUUGGGCGUAAAGGGCGCGUAGGCGGCCUGGCAAGUGGAAGGUGAAAUCCCUCGGCUUAACCGAGGAACUGCCUCCCAAACUGCUUGGCUUGAGACCAGGAGAGGUGAGUGGAAUUCCCAGUGUAGCGGUGAAAUGCGUAGAUAUUCGGAAGAACACCAGUGGCGAAGGCGGCUCACUGGACGACUGUUGACGCUGAGGUGCGAAAGCGUGGGGAGCAAACAGG
rnacentral:rRNA from 1 species